GUGGGAGGGGCUUUUUUUCAUAACAUACUUUGGGGUGCCUUUUAAAUUUUGAAAAAAUUUAAUGUAUUUAACUAUCCCCCAAAAUCAAUCAAACAGAAAAGGGGGAGGAAUGUAGUUGCAGUCCCUGUGGGUUGGGUUGUACAGAGGUGCCUGGGGAGGGACUGGCCCUGGUGCUGGGCAGUCCCCUGAGGAAUGACGCAGGGCAGCCGCCCAGGGCGGGGUGAGUGUUGGGGCUGCUCAGCAGGCCGGGUGGCCCAUGUCACAGUCCCCGUGACGAGCCUGGGCAGAGACGCACCGGCCUUGGGCGCAUGUUCAGCCCCAGAGAGGAGGCCCUGCCGGACUCAGAGGCUUCCAGCCGAGAGCCACACAUGGGAGGGAGUCGGAGGGGGAACAAGAGCAGGAAAGGCAGUUACCAGCCAAGGAGCCCUCCCUGCCUGCAGAGCGCGGUGCUGUACAGUCACAGGCUUGGUGGCUCCCGCCAUCCCGCAAGUAGGCAAGAGGCAAGGUCCCUUCUCUGAAGUCACACAGCUGCACAUGGCUCCAAGGUCCUGUUUUCCGUCUGUGAGAAAAAGGCACCUAAAGCUGAGGCAAGGACACACCCGAGGCUGAGCCAUCUGGGCCCGAAGCGCCGGGGAACCAUGGGUGUGGACCCUCCUUAGGUGGGGUUCUCAAGGGCAAAGUAGAAAAUAGAGACUGAACCAAGUGACACCCCACCCUCCACACACCUCAGUUCACCCAGUCGAGGUCUCAAGGGGCUUUUGGAGAAGAUGGAGGAACCAGAAGGGUGAGGAACUUGCUUGUGGUCACCCAGCACGUCCGCAUAGACUUGGGACUAGAACCCACGUCCUCUCACCCCCACCGAAAUGCAGGGGCUCAUUCCAUUCCCUGGUGCUACAGCUGCCUCCACCUCUGACUUCUCCCCAGCCAGCCACCCAGAAGUCCUUUUUCUUGGCACGCCCUUGCUCAGAGUCUUCAGUGACAUCCUGCUGAAGGGUCAGGGAGGGAGGGUCAGGGUCAGGACUAAGUUCGGGGGCCUGACAGUGAGCACUCCAUGGUCCAGCCCCCUUAUGACCAUUUCGAUUUUGUUCCCCCAACACGUCUACCCCAGCCAAGCCACAUCCGCUCCACUCCCACCUCACACCAUACCUUUGCCUGUGCUGCUGCUUCUGGGAUGCCCUCCCCCUGCCCCCACUCGGCCUAGCCAGAUCCACUGAGCGCCUCUUCCAGGAAGCCUCCUGAUCCCCCACCCUACCCACGUGGCCAGAUAAGACCGUCCUGUGGCUCUUUGAUAGGAAUCAUCUUGUAUUGUUCCCAUGUCCUUAGGCUCCCAGUUAGACCCUAAGUUCCUUGAGGGUAGGGCCUUGUUAGUAGAUCUACAGUGGCUGUUUUCACAAUAAAAACUGGAAUCUGUGCUCUGACCAGGAUAUGAUUCUGCAUUGUUAUACUCAUGUGUGAACAGUCGUCAGGAGUCUCAAAGGUGGGGGUGCAACAUGCAGCGACACUCAGCAGUGUCCUAACGGCACCCUUUGCAGAUCUGAGUGUUCCGCCAUCAUUUCCCUUCCUGCGCAGCCCAGAAGCAGCUCAGAAUUUUCUCACAGUAAUGUCACAGGCAGCUGGUGCCGCCUAGAUUUGACCUGUGCGAUGAAACUUCUGUGCCGUCUGGAGUGGGUGCUCCAUGAGGGCAGGGACUUGUCUGUGGGUUCUUCUCUGCCGGGCUGAGCACCAUGCCUGGCACUUAGCAGGCUCUUGGGGAGUACUUACUGAAUGAAUGAAUGCCCUUCCUAGAAGAGUCCAUCAGUUUUAAACUUAAUGACUAGCUCUUACUUAAAAGAUGGGCUGGGCUGGGACAUCAGAUGUGUGUCCCAAACCCGUGACGUUGCACAAGUUACUAAACCUCUCGGAUCUUCAGUUUCCACAUGUGCAAACGGAGAAUUGGUACCUGCUUCACAGGCUUGUCCUGAAGAUUAAAUGAAUCAUGUGCAGUGCCUAGGACACAGCUGGAACUCAAUAAAUGUAGGUGUCCAGGAGUUCCCUCUGUGGCACAGUGGGUUAAGAACCUGACUGCAAUGGCCCAAGUUGCUGCGGAGGCGAGGGUUCAGUCCUGGCCUGGUGCAGUGAGUUAAAGGAUCCAGCAUUGCUGGGCAACUGGGGUUUGGAUUCAGCCACUGGCUUGGGAACUUUCAUGCUGAUGCACAUAAAAAUAAAUAAAAAUGAAAGUAGUUUUCCAGCUUCCUCUUGGAAUGAACCCAGCUACAAGUUACAGAAACGGAAGUCAUUUGGUUCAAGUGAGGAUGGAGAUGCCCUUCCCAGAAGAAGGGAGAAUGGCUGCUGGGCAGAGACAAGGACCAGCUGCGCCCUCCACCCUCUGCGCAGAACCGGAUGGUGUUGAAAACCCAGGUUGUCACCACAGCUGCAUCCGUGCCACUGACAACAGGAAGCACUUGUCUGCAUUACAGGCCCUGUGUGCGGGGUGUGGAGUAGAGCCGGUCUCCUGUUGUUCUUCUCAGCAGCCCCCAGGUUCAGAAAGAGGAGCGCCUUGCUCAAGGCCACACAGCCCGAGUGAACAAGCCUUUGCUGUGAACUGAAUGGAGCCACCAAAGCUCAGGGAGCCUUUCCCAUCCCCAGGCAGCUGAGUCAGGGAUUUCCAGAGGUGGUGGCUGAGGACCCUGAAAUCCAAGUUGGAUUCUCCCUGAGACCGUUACUGCAGAAACUUCUAGCAAGGAAGAAGCUAAGGUCCUCAGAGGCCCCACUGCUGUGGUGGUCGAGCCAGUCGGGCCCUCAUCUCCUCCAUUCUUCCCCUCGGAUCCUAUAUUCCUCCAAGUGCAGUGACCCCUACCACCUGCCACAGAGACCUCAGGGCAGGGGACACGUGUUAAACAUGCAGGUCCUGGGGCACGACCAGCCUUGCUGCCUCCAACUCUGCAUUGACUUACCUCUUCAGGUGAUUCGGACACAAAAUUGCAACAUGAGAACUGCUGUUCUUCCUUCCUGACCCAGUUUCUUCUCAGAUCCAAAGCAUACAGUGGGCUACGCGUGGGGCAAGGGGUUUUCCAUCCCUUGCCUCUUUUGAACCCCUAAAACAUUCCAAAAAUGACUGUUGGGUGUUGGGAGAGAAACUGACAUUCAGGGGGGUUUGCUGUGGAACUGGGGUUUGAACCUGGAAUGUGUCCGCUUUCCCAUGA